AUUGAACGCUGGCGGAAUGCUUUACACAUGCAAGUCGAACGGCAGCACGGACUUCGGUCUGGUGGCGAGUGGCGCACGGGUGAGUAAUGCAUCGGAACGUGCCCAGUCGUGGGGGAUAACGUAGUGAAAAUUACGCUAAUACCGCAUACGAUCUAUGGAUGAAAGCGGGGGAUCGCAAGACCUCGCGCGAUUGGAGCGGCCGAUAUCAGAUUAGGUAGUUGGUGGGGUAAAGGCCCACCAAGCCAACGAUCUGUAGCUGGUCUGAGAGGACGACCAGCCACACUGGAACUGAGACACGGUCCAGACUCCUACGGGAGGCAGCAGUGGGGAAUUUUGGACAAUGGGCGAAAGCCUGAUCCAGCCAUUCCGCGUGCAGGAUGAAGGCCCUCGGGUUGUAAACUGCUUUUGUACAGAACGAAAAGGUUUCUACUAAUACUAGGAGCUCAUGACGGUACUGUAAGAAUAAGCACCGGCUAACUACGUGCCAGCCGCCACCGUAA
rnacentral:rRNA from 1 species